AAAACACACCACAAUUCGUGCCUGCGUCAUCUACGGCGGUAGCCGAGUGCGGUCUGUUCAGCUCAGCUGGCUCGGUAGUCGCGCCUGGUUUGUUCCUUUCCCGCCAUGAAGCUGUACUGUUUUAAUCUAUUGUUGGUUACCUUAUCCUGAACAGUUAGAGCCUUUUACAACCAUAGCAACUCAUUCAAUUGAUGAGAUGAGGUAUAAUCUCAUAAGCAAUAGUUUAUAGCAUUAAAAUAUUUAUAAUAUUUAUUAUAAUAUACAUCUGUAGGUAAAUUAAUUUUAUUUUGUUAAAUUGAAAUUACAUUUAUUUGCCAUUUAUCAAGGCAAAUACUCUAGAGCUACUCUAGGUGGCUUAUAAUAAUAAAAAGGAAGAAAAA